GGGUGCAGGUUUGGAAAAGGUGCUGGGGGAGGAGCCGAGGCGCGCGAGACGCAGCUGACCCUGGGUGCCGUGGCCUGUGGGCACCACGUCCUUGGUGUGGGCUUUCUUCCACCGGCAUAGAGGUGGGAGGGGGAGGAGACAGGUGCUACAAAAUCCCUGGCUUGGGUUUUUCCGGAUGAGGAGGGCGGAAGGACAAGGGCCAAGCAGUUGAGGGCUCUGGCAGAGAAUGGCUGAGAGAUGUCCCCUGUGGUCAAGAGGCCUGGCGGUGGGGAGCCAGGGGCGCUGAUGCCGUGGGAAAGUACAGGAGCCGGGAUCAGGACAAGGUCAAGGGAGAGAGGGGCGGAGGCGUGAGAGGACUGGCAGCCUCGGAAGCUGUGGUCAGGGAGUGGGUUCACGGAGAGCAGUUGGAACUGCCCCGGUGAUGACAGGGCCCAGGGCGUGGGCAGCCACAGUGCAGCGGAGGUGAAGGUCACCGGCCGGGGAGGUGUGGGAAGGGACGGGCAGAUCUGGCAGCCCCCUGGAGCCUUGUGUGCAGGGUGUCUGGCUUCUGUCAGCCCGUGACUCACAGUUGUGCUUUUCGCCCGCACCUCCGCCCUCCACGUCUGCUGCUGUGUCCUCUUUUCUUGCUGGUGUGAGAACCAUGGUCCUCCCCCACGAAGCCUCUGCCCAGCGGAACGUCUGUUCCAAACCCUCCUCACUUUAAACCCCCCACCAUUGCCCCCGCCCCCCUGUCGUCCACCUCCUCCUCCUCGUGGCUGGCACAGCGUCCAUCAUCCCCAUGGGCCAUAUGGACCCUCAUCAGUGAUUGUGUCCAUGGGUCCACAUCCCCUCCUUCCUUCCUCCUUCCCUCUGUCUUUCUGUCUCUGUCUGUCUGUCUCCCUGCCCCCAUUCUUCCUUUCACUGUCGCUCCAGUGCUGAGGGCCUGGCACAAGCUGGGCAAGCACCCACCACAACUGCCCCCAGCCGAUGUCCACAGUGUUUAUUUACAGAGUGAAAAUCCUGCCUAGGUGGGCACCAUAGCCCUGAGCAGAGUGCUGAGGAAGGGCUGCCCCGGAGGUGGGCCGCGGUGCAGAGGACAGAGGGUGGGGGAGCCCUCGGAGAGACACAAGUGGCACGGCUUUGUCGUCACCUGUAUUGGGUUCUAGGCUUGGCUCUGCUGGCCAUGGUGGGGGACCUCAUGUCCUCUCAGCCUCAGUAAGUCAGGGAAAACAAUACCCAACAGGGGCAUUAUAAUUAUCAUGUAAAUAUUAGUUGAAAUUAACCACGAUUCAUAGCUCAAUGCCUAUUCUCACCCACAGGGACAUGUCCCAAGACCCCUGCGGAUGCCCAAAGUCACAGAAGUAUGGGAUCCCAUAUGUAUCAUGUCUUGUUCCUAUACAUACACACCUGUGAUAAAGUCUAAUUUAGAAACUGGGCCCAGUAAGAAUAUUGGGGCA
rnacentral:lncRNA from 1 species